rnacentral:rRNA from 1 species
AUUGAACGCUGGCGGCAUGCCUUACACAUGCAAGUCGAACGGUAACAGGUCUUCGGAUGCUGACGAGUGGCGAACGGGUGAGUAAUACAUCGGAACGUGCCUAGUAGUGGGGGAUAACUACUCGAAAGAGUGGCUAAUACCGCAUGAGAUCUACGGGUGAAAACAGGGGAUCGCAAGACCUUGUGCUACUAGAGCGGCCGAUGGCAGAUUAGGUAGUUGGUGGGAUAAAAGAUUACCAAGCCGACGAUCUGUAGCUGGACUGAGAGGACGAGCAGCCACACUGGGAUUGGGACACGGCCCAGACUCCUACGGGAGGAAGCAGUGGGGAAUUUUGGACAAUGGGCGCAAGCCUGAUCCAGCAAUGCCGCGUGCAGGAAGAAGGCCUUCGGGUUGUAAACUGCUUUUGUACGGAACGAAAAGCACUGGGUUAAUACCCUGGGGUCAUGACGGUACCGUAAGAAUAAGCACCGGCUAACUACGUGCCAGCAGCCGCGGUAAUAC